UUUUGAGCUUCUACCUCUGCCCUUGUCCGCUACUGCACCCAACUUUUCUCGAAAGUGAUUGGAGACUUUUUUUUUUUUUUUUUUGUAUGGAGUAGUUUGAUUUGACAUACUCAUGGUAGUGGGACAUAAACAAAAGGAUGUAAUUUGCUGGGGAAAGUACAUGAAUUUGCUGGGAAAAUACAUAUUAAUUUCCUAAUCAAUCACAUCAACUGAUGAAACAAUCACAUAAAUAUCCAAAGAUCUAUGUCCUACUUAUAUGUCUAAUCCAUUGUACACUUCCAUCUCUUCUUUUAAAGAUGAUUAUUGCGUGUCACUAACAAUCAAAUUAACAAAACCUUGUGCUUAUCAAUAACUAAAUAUUUUGUUACUUUAACAAAUUGACAACUAAAACAUAGAGGUGAGUCUUACUAGCGAACCAAGAUGCUUGUUAGUAAUAUUAUUGUGAAUCAAAAAGAAAGAGAGAGGAGCUCAUCCAAGAUGCUUGUAGUAAUAUUAUUAUGAAUCCAAAUUCAUCGGCAUUAUUCCGAUGUUCAAGAACUCUCAAGUGAGCUCAAGAUAGCAUUUUGAGCAAAAGAGGUGGACAGGGAGACAAACUUGAUCCUUAGGCUGCUUUAUUCAGAGAUCAUCUAGAGGAGCUCCAUUUGAUUCGGAGCUGCAGCCGUUGGUACUAUUCUUUUGUGUAUCUAUAUGGGCAUGGUGGGGCCCUUUUCCCAUCUUUAUGAUGUUACAUACUCUUUCUAGAGGCUCGUAGACAGUUGUGUAUAGCUAGAUGUCUUUUAGCCUUGUCGGCUCAUAUCUUUGUAUAUCAUUUUAUUAUCCUUGUCGACUUGUGUGUGUAUAUAUAUAUGGGCAUAGUGUUGAUGUUGAUAUAAAAGUGCCUUAACCCGAUGGAAA